rnacentral:misc_RNA from 1 species
UUGGAAACUUGACUUCCCUUAGCAGCCUUCAAUUGUCAAGCAACGAACUUGAAGGAGCAAUUUCAGUCACUUUGGGUGAGCUGACUUCCUUGACAUAUCUAGGCCUUUCUGACAACAAAUUAAAUGGAGGUCUUCCCAUAGGUAUUGGAGCCCUUGAAAAAUUAGAAGUAUAUAUUUCUUAUAAUUCAUUGGAGGGUGAAGUUUUCGAAAUGCAUUUUGCAAACCUUAUAAAUCUGAGAAAUUUUGAUGGCUCUUGCAACCAAAUGAUUUUAAGAGUCGAUGCUAAUUGGAUUCCUCCUUUUCAACUUGGUGAAGAAUUAUAUUUGCAAUCUUGGGAUGUUGGGCCUCAGUU